CUGGUUACUAUCAUCAUGUUGCAUUCAUUUCCCUUACACGCCUUAUGCGCAGGCGCACCAUUUCUCACCACUAAUACUGGCAGCGAAUAUUUUAGCAGCCGAAGGCCA